rfam:Arabis alpina cultivar Pajares Aa.chr8_contig_2540, whole genome shotgun sequence.
AUACCUUUCUCGGCCUUUGGCUAAGAAUUAAGUGUAGUAUCUGUUCUUAUUAACUCUAUUUUUAAUGGGGCCUAUAGCCAAAGCGCUACUGGAACUGUGCUGCCAUGAGUAGCUUGUGUCUGGCUCGCAAAGUUCAUGUAUCUGUUAAUUGCAUCCUUUGAUCCUAUGAUCACCCAUC